GCCGGUGUGGCGAAAUGGCAGACGCAAGGGACUUAAAAUCCCUUUUCGCGAAAGCGGAGUGUGGGUUCGAGUCCCGCCACCGGCA
rfam:Verrucomicrobia bacterium RIFCSPHIGHO2_12_FTLL_41_10 rifcsphigho2_12_scaffold_7263, whole genome shotgun sequence.